ensembl:ncRNA ZC190.15 ncRNA
CUUGGUUUUGUAAUGGUCUUUUUUCAACACUAAAUACCCUCUCCCAGUUUUCCUACCUAGCCAACACCAUACGUGCCAUCAGCUGCGACUAGGGCUUUGCAACUUUUCGCUAAUUCUCUAGAUGCCCGGUCAACUAUAACUGAUCCGGUAGAUGGAUUCUGAAACUGUUUUAUUGGUUCUUGAUUGAACAAAACUUUCAUUCUUCAAAUU